GCGGGUGUGGCGGAAUUGGCAGACGCACUGGAUUUAGGUUCCAGCGCCGCAGGGCGUGGGGGUUCAAGUCCCUUCACCCGCACCA
rnacentral:tRNA from 1 species